rnacentral:tRNA from 1 species
GGCGCAGUAGCUUAGAGGUAAAGCGUCUGUCUCGUAAACAGAAGAUCGCGAGUUCGAUUCUCGUCUGUGCCU